UACAGAGGUCUCAAGCGUUGUUCGGAUUCAUUGGGCGUAAAGGGUGCGUAGGCGGCGCGGUAAGUCGGGUGUGAAAACUCUGGGCUCAACCCAGAGCCGCCACCCGAUACUGCUGUGACUCGAGUGCGGUAGGGGAGCGGGGAAUUCCUGGUGUAGCGGUGAAAUGCGCAGAUAUCAGGAGGAACACCGGUGGCGAAGGCGGGUCUCUGGGCAGUAACUGACGCUGAGGAGCGAAAGCGUGGGGAGCGAACAGG
rnacentral:rRNA from 1 species